rnacentral:rRNA from 1 species
UGGGGAAUAUUGCACAAUGGGGGAAACCCUGAUGCAGCGACGCCGCGUGAACGAAGAAGGUAUUCGUAUCGUAAAGUUCUGUCCUAUGGGAAGAUAAUGACAGUACCAUAGAGGAAAGCUCCGGCUAAAUACGUGCCAGCAGCCGCGGUAAUACGUAUGGAGCGAGCGUUGUCCGGAAUUAUUGGGCGUAAAGGGUACGCAGGCGGUUUAAUAAGUCGAAUGUUAAAGAUCGGGGCUCAACCCCGCAAAGCAUUGGAAACUGAUAAACUUGAGUAGUGGAGAGGAAAGUGGAAUUCCUAGUGUAGUGGUGAAAUACGUAGAUAUUAGGAGGAAUACCAGUAGCGAAGGCGACUUUCUGGACACAAACUGACGCUGAGGUACGAAAGCGUGGGGAGCAAACAGG